UACGUAGGGGGCUAGCGUUGUCCGGAUUUAUUGGGCGUAAAGAGCGUGUAGGCGGCCAGGUAGGCCUGCUGUGAAAACUCGAGGCUCAACCUCGAGACGUCGGCGGAAACCAUCUGGCUAGAGUCCGGAAGAGGAGAGUGGAAUUCCUGGUGUAGCGGUGAAAUGCGCAGAUAUCAGGAAGAACACCCGUGGCGAAGGCGGCUCUCUGGGACGGUACUGACGAUGAGACGCGAAAGCGUGGGGAGCGAACAGG
rnacentral:rRNA from 1 species